rnacentral:tRNA from 1 species
GCCCUGGUAGUGCAAUGGUUAAGCACUGGGCUGCUAACCCAAAGGCUGGGUGUUCGAACCCUCCCAGUGGCU